rnacentral:rRNA from 1 species
AACAAAUUAAUAAGUGCAAAUGGCGGAUGCCUAGGCACCAGAAGCCGAUGAAGGUCGUAGGAGGCUGCGAAAAGCCUCGGGGAGCCGCCAACCAGGCUUCGAUCCGAGGAUUACCGAAUGGGGAAACCUAGCUGGAGUAAUGUCCAGUUAUCUCUGUCUGAAUAAAUAGGACAGAAGAUGGUAACGAGGGGAAGUGAAACAUCUCAGUACCCUCAGGAAGAGAAAACAACCGUGAUUCCGUUAGUAGUGGCGAGCGAAAGCGGGGCAGGCUAAACCAAUCAUGUGCCAAGCCGGCAGGCGUUGCAUGAUCGGUGUCGUGGGACUAAAUGGAGUUAACUGCCGUUAAUUCAACAAGUCAGAAAAUAAUGAAGUAGAUGAAGGGCGUGGGAAAGCCCGGCACAGAAGGUGAGACCCCUGUAGUCGAAAUUUCAUUAUCUUGUUUUUAGUAUCCCAAGUAAUACCGGACUCGUGUAAUCCGGUAUGAAUCUGGCGGGACCACCCGCUAAGCCUAAAUACUCUCUGGUGACCGAUAGUGAACAAGUACCGUGAGGGAAAGGUGAAAAGAACCCCGCAAGGGGAGUGAAAUAGAAUCUGAAACCGUUUGCAUACAAACCGUUGGAGCUGCCUUGUGCAGUGACAGCGUGCCUUUUGAAGAAUGAGUCUACGAGUUAGUGUGAUGUAGCAAGGUUAACCCGUCGAGGGGAAGCCGUAGCGAAAGCGAGUCUGAAUAGGGCGAAUAAGUUGCAUCAUCUAAACCCGAAGCGAGGUGAUCUCGCCAUGACCAGGUUGAAGCGCGGGUAAGACCGCGUGGAGGACCGAACCCACUAAAGUUGAAAAUUUAGGGGAUGAGUUGUGGCUAGGGGUGAAAGACCAAUCAAACUUCGUGAUAGCUGGUUCUCUCCGAAAUGCAUUUAGGUGCAGCGUCACGUGUUUCUUACUGGAGGUAGAGCACUGGAUGGCCGAGGGGUCCUACAAGAUUACCAACGUCAGCCAAACUCCGAAUGCCAGUAAGUGAGAACGUGGCAGUGAGACAGUGGGGGAUAAGCUUCAUUGUCGAGAGGGAAACAACCCAGAACAGCAACUAAGGUCCCAAAGCCUGUGCUAAGUGGAAAAGGAUGUGAAGUCGCAUAGACAACCAGGAGGUUGGCUUAGAAGCAGCCACCCUUAAAAGAGUGCGUAAUAGCUCACUGGUCAAGUGAUUUCGCGCCGACAAUGUAACGGGGCUCAAGCACAGCACCGAAGUUCUGUCAUUCACACACUAUCCCGGUCUUAUGGUUCGCCAGAAAGAUCCAGGAGUGUGGAUGGGUAGGAGAGCGUUGUGUAACUAGUGAAGCGGCGGAGGAAUCCAGCCGUGGAAGUUACACAAGUGAGAAUGUAGACAUGAGUAGCGAAAGACGGGUGAGAAACCCGUCCACCGAAUGACCAAGGGUUCCUGAGCCAGGCUAAUCCGCUCAGGGUAAGUCGGGUCCUAAGGCGAGGCCGACAGGCGUAGUCGAUGGACAACUGGUUGAUAUUCCAGUACCCGCAAUAAACCGUCCAUGACGAAUCAAUAAUGCUAAGUGUUUGAAGUUGGCUAGCAAUAGCUGAUGGAGCGCACGACCCAAGUUGUUAGUAGUCAAGCAAUGGAGAGACGCAGGAAGGUAAUCCAACCCAGGCGAUGGUUGACCUGGGGUAAGAGUGUAGGAGGUUCUGUAGGAAAAUCCGCAGAACAAUCUCUGAGACUUAAUGCCGAGCCGUAAGGCGAAGUGGAUGAUCCUAUGCUGCCAAGAAAAUCUUCUAGCGAGGUUUAUCGUGGCCCGUACCCGAAACCGACUCAGGUGGUCAGGUAGAGAAUACCAAGGUGAUCGAGAGAAUCGUGGUGAAGGAACUCGGCAAAAUACCCCCGUAACUUCGGGAGAAGGGGGGCUAAUUUUUGUGUAGAGGUUUACCUUCGAAGCAUAAGUUAGACGCAGAGAAUAGGCUCAAGCGACUGUUUACCAAAAACACAGGUCCGUGCGAAGUUGCAAAACGAUGUAUACGGACUGACGCCUGCCCGGUGCUGGAAGGUCAAGGGGACUGGUUAGCUCUUCGGAGCGAAGCCGAGAACUUAAGCCCCAGUAAACGGCGGUGGUAACUAUAACCAUCCUAAGGUAGCGAAAUUCCUUGUCGGGUAAGUUCCGACCUGCACGAAUGGCGUAACGACUUGAGCGCUGUCUCCACCAUGAACUCGGCGAAAUUGCAUUACGAGUAAAGAUGCUCGUUACGCGCGGAAAGACGGAAAGACCCCGGGACCUUUACUAUAUCUUGAUAUUGGUACUCGGAACGUUCUGUGUAGCAUAGGUGGGAGACUUUGAAGCGGCACGCCAGUGUCGUGGAGUCAACAAAUGAAAUACCACUCUGAAUGUUUUGAGUUUCUAACCUCGGCCCAUUAUCUGGGUCAGGGACAGUGUCUGGUGGGUAGUUUAACUGGGGCGGUUGCCUCCCAAAAAGUAACGGAGGCGCUCAAAGGUUCCCUCAACCUGGUUGGUAAUCAGGUGUCGAGUGUAAGUGCACAAGGGAGCUUAACUGUGAGACAGACAUGUCAAGCAGGUGCGAAAGCAGGAACUAGUGAUCCGGCGGUGGCUUGUGGAAGCGCCGUCGCUCAACGGAUAAAAGGUACCCCGGGGAUAACAGGCUGAUCUUGCCCAAGAGUCCAUAUCGACGGCAAGGUUUGGCACCUCGAUGUCGGCUCGUCUCAUCCUGGGGCUGGAGUAGGUCCCAAGGGUUGGGCUGUUCGCCCAUUAAAGAGGCACGCGAGCUGGGUUCAGAACGUCGUGAGACAGUUCGGUCCCUAUCUUCCGUGCGCGAAGGAAACUUGAGAAGGGCUGUCCCUAGUACGAGAGGACCGGGACGGACGAACCUCUUGUGUGUCGGUUGUUUCGCCAGAAGCACGGCCGAUUAGCAACGUUCGGAAGGGAUAACCGCUGAAAGCAUCUAAGCGGGAAGCUCGCUUCAAGAUUAGGUUUCCCACUGGUUUACCAGGUAAGACCCCCAAGAGACUAUUGGGUUGAUAGGCCGGAAGUGGAAGAGGCGCAAGCCUUGUAGCUGACCGGUACUAAUAGGUCGAGGAUUUAACUACAACAA